UUUUACAACAGAUGUUUUGAAGGCAUUGAUGUCAACAUCGAUGUUUUAUUACGAUGUCCCAGCACUAAAAUCAGCCGUCAGCUGGCUAUGAUAUACGUCAUUCUGUCAGAUUUAGGAUCCUGUUGCUGCGACAGAUUUUCUACAGGCCAACUACCCACAAAUUUUCCAACCACAAAAUGAAAAUAUUGAAUUACAAAAUGUUGAUUUGGAAGAAACAACAGAGGCACAAGAAGAAAUCUGGACAAAAAGAAAACCAACUCCAAAUGAAUUGGAGGCCACAAGGCUACUGUUAAGCAAGGAAUUUGAUGACAAGAAGACCGUAAAAUCUAAACUUUGGCAUAAAAUUGCAAAUUUAUUAAGAUCAAGGAAUUUUUAUCUGGGUCCCACAGGUGCAGACACAAGUUUUCCAACCUUUGUAAAGGCUAUUUGGCUUUUAUAAGAAAUCAAAAAACUACUGGAAAAGAGUCCAUGGAUCUGCCCCUAUUCUAUGAUGAAAUUCAUUUGAUAUUAGGUUCUAAACACAAAGCUGUGCCCCAACAUUUAGAAGAUACUAUUUCUCAAAUGCAGCAACAAUUUUCAGACAAUGAAAAUGAAACAGAGGUAGAUGAAGCAGAGCCCUGUGCAGGCCUCUCAACAGACCCUGUGAGCCAAUUUAGUAGAAGUAAAGAAACAGUAAAGCCUCUGUCAAAAACAGAAUCCGUUUUGGUUGAAAUGAGGGAGGACAGGAAACAGAGAGAAAAUGAAUUCAACUUUGUGAAGGAGCAUUUUUUUAAAGCCUCUGACCAGAGAGACAAGUUUCUCAAUAUUUUAGGGAAACUUGUCUCGAAAAGAAAAAGGGAAGAUUCUGACUCUGAUUAAGAUUUUAUGCCAUAUAAAAAUCAGAAACUUUUUAUAAAAUUCUGCCUCUAAAGGUUCAGUUUAAUUAAAGAAGACCUAACUGUUUAAGUUUUACGAGUUUAUAUACUACUUACCGUAUAAAAGAUUUAAAAUCUUUAAACAAGAUUUUAGUUUAUUAG